rnacentral:rRNA from 1 species
UACGAAGGGGGCUAGCGUUGCUCGGAAUCACUGGGCGUAAAGGGUGCGUAGGCGGGUCUUUAAGUCAGGGGUGAAAUCCUGGAGCUCAACUCCAGAACUGCCUUUGAUACUGAAGAUCUUGAGUUCGGGAGAGGUGAGUGGAACUGCGAGUGUAGAGGUGAAAUUCGUAGAUAUUCGCAAGAACACCAGUGGCGAAGGCGGCCCACUGGAUCGGUACUGACGCUGAGGUGCGAAAGCGUGGGGAGCAAACAGGG